UCUCCGUUGGUGAACCAGCGGAGGGAUCAUUACAGGAUCGAAAGACUCCUAUAACCCCUGUGAACUUACUACAAAUACGUUGCUUCGGCGGGUGCCCCGGGUCUCCCGGGGCGUUCAGCCCGCCGGCAGCCUUCAAAUUCUGUUUCUUUGCGUUGGCAUCUCGAGUAUACAAAAAUAUGUUAAAACUUUCAACAACGGAUCUCUUGGUUCUG
rnacentral:misc_RNA from 1 species